GCUUACGGCCAUACCACCCUGAACGCGCCCGAUCUCGUCCGAUCUCGGAAGCUAAGCAGGGUCGGGCCUGGUUAGUACUUGGAUGGGAGACCGCCUGGGAAUACCAGGUGCUGUAAGCC
ensembl:rRNA 5S_rRNA 5S ribosomal RNA